UUGUUUCUACAUCGUUGGGGC
rnacentral:piRNA from 1 species